GGCGCAGUGGUGAAGUAGCUAACACGGGUGUCUGCAGAACAUCUAUUCGGGGGUGCAACUCCCCCCUGCGCCU
rnacentral:tRNA from 1 species